rnacentral:rRNA from 1 species
GACAGAGGGGGCAAGCGUUGCUCGGAAUUACUGGGCGUAAAGCGCACGUAGGCGGCUUGGUAUGUCGGGUGUGAAAUCCCCGGGCUCAACCUGGGAACUGCAUCCGAAACUGCCUUGCUCGAGUAUGGGAGAGGGAAGUGGAAUUUCCGGUGUAGCGGUGAAAUGCGUAGAUAUCGGAAGGAACAUCAGUGGCGAAGGCGACUUCCUGAACCAAUACUGACGCUCAGGUGCGAAAGCGUGGGGAGCAAACAGG